CCUUAGUUACCAGCACGUUAUGGUGGGCACUCUAAGGAGACUGCCGGUGCAAACCGGAGGAAGUGGGGAUGACGUCAAGUCAUCAUGGCCCUUACGGCCUGGGCUACACACGUGCUACAAUGGUCGGUACAAAGGGUUGCCAAGCCGCGAGGUGGAGCUAAUCCCAUAAAACCGAUCGUAGUCCGGAUCGCAGUCUGCAACUCGACUGCGUGAAGUCGGAAUCGCUAGUAAUCGUGAAUCAGAAUGUCACGGUGAAUACGUUCCCGGGCCUU
rnacentral:rRNA from 1 species